AUGGCAAGACUAGCAGCAUUUCUUCUUGUUCUUAAAACCUGUGCAUCUGUGAGAUCUACCAUGUUUUCUCAAGAAUGCUCUGCAGACAAGGAAAUACCCUGCGAGAGUCUGAGCACCUCUGCGGGCUACACGUACCCGCUGCCGCAGAACAUGAGAGACUUGAGUACAAAGCAUUGUGAACAUGGAUGGUAUUUUCCGAAUGGGACAUUUCUUGUCGAUUCAACUAUGGGUGGCAGAAAAAAUAUGUUAGAAAUUGUAGUUGAUGUAACACCUGAGAACCUGACGGUUAUCACCUGCGAGAACCUGCAAUGGCAACUUCACUGUGUCGAGUUUAACUGUAUGAUCACUUACACAGUUAUAGAUUGGAACACAAACCACAUGCACAAACAGGAUGGCACUGGGGGAUUCCUUAACUGGGGGAUUGCUGUGAUUGGGAUUGUGGCUGUAAUUGGAACCAUUUUUGCAUCUGUUUGCUAUUGUUAUCGAAAAUCUGGAAAUAGGUGGAUUUUACAAAAUUGUGUUUAGUAGGACAAAUUAAUUGUCUGGUGUUUAGGAUCUGAAACAAUAUGCCUUCUGUACCCAAGGUUGCUCCAAAAAGAUUUCCCCUGUAAUUUCUUUCCACUCAUUAAUUUUUCUUUGGCUGGCUUUUAUAAAUGUUAGCUAUUGUAUUAAUGAGAUGAACUUAACACAUAUUGAGAACUAUGUAAAAUAUGUAAUUUCUGUCAUCAGUUGUAAAAUUUUUACUUGAAUUAUUUUUUCUAAAUCAUUAUUUUAACAUUGUAUUACAUUUUUGUUUAUCUUUUGCCUUUGCUAUCUAGUUGUCUUGUUUCUCUUUUAAUAAAAUCUGAUUGUGAAGUUACGUUUUACA
ensembl:lncRNA